UACGUAGGGACCGAGCGUUGUCCGGAAUCAUUGGGGCGUAAAGAGCGUGUAGGCGGCUAUUUAAGUCCUGCGUGAAAUCCUGCGGCUCAACCGCAGACGGUCGUGGGAAACUGGAUGGCUAGAGUGCGGGAGAGGAGAGUGGAAUUCCGGUGUAGCGGUGAAAUGCGCAGAUAUCGGGAAGAACACCCGUGGCGAAGGCGGCUCUCUGGAACCGCAACUGACGCUGAGACGCGAAAGCGUGGGGAGCAAAC
rnacentral:rRNA from 1 species